CCUACGGGGGGCAGCAGUGGGGAAUCUUGCACAAUGGGGGGAACUCUGAUGCAGCGACGCCGCGUGAGUGAAGAAGGAUUUCGGUAUGUAAAGCUCUAUUAGUAGGGAAGAAAAUGACGGUACCUGACUAAGCAGUCCCGGCUAACUACGUGCCAGCAGCCGCCGUAAUACGUAGGGGGCAAGCGUUCUCCGGAUUUACUGGGAGUAAAGGGAGCGUAGACGGCAGAGCAAGUCUGAUGUGAAAGCCCGCGGCCCAACUGCGGGACUGCUUUGGAAACUGCCCGGCUAGAGUGCAGGAGAGGUAAGCGGAAUUCCAAGUGUAGCGGUGGAAUGCGUAGAUAUAAGGAGGAACACCAGUGGCGAAGGCGGCUUACUGGACAGUAACUGACGUUGAGGCUCGAAAGCGUGGGGAGCAAACAGGAUUAGAUACCCCAGUAGUC
rnacentral:rRNA from 1 species